rnacentral:rRNA from 1 species
CCUACGGGAGGCAGCAGUGGGGAAUACUGCACAAUGGGGGAAACCCUGAUGCAGCGACGCCGCGUGAGUGAAGAAGUAUUUCGGUACGUAAAGCUCUAUCAGCAGGGAAGAAAAUGACGGUACCUGACUAAGAAGCCCCGGCUAACUACGUGCCAGCAGCCGCGGUAAUACGUAGGGGGCAAGCGUUAUCCGGAUUUACUGGGUGUAAAGGGAGCGUAGACGGCAGCGCAAGUCUGGAGUGAAAUCCCAUGGCUUAACCAUGGAACUGCUUUGGAAACUGUGCAGCUAGAGUGCAGGAGAGGUAAGCGGAAUUCCUAGUGUAGCGGUGAAAUGCGUAGAUAUUAGGAGGAACACCAGUGGCGAAGGCGGCUUACUGGACUGUAACUGACGUGGAGGCUCGAAAGCGUGGGGAGCAAACAGGAUUAGAUACCCGAGUAGUC